AAAAAACAGUUGGAGAGAGAGGAGACGACGACUCUCUCUAUCUGUCUCACAGAAGACUUUCUUCUUUGUCCUGCUGGUCUUGUUGGUCUAUAUAAGGCUGACCCGAAACCCAUGGCAAAAAUAUCUCUCUCUCUUUCUUUCUUCUCUCUUCUUUUCACAUUUUCUCGUUCUUCACCAAAAACCAAGUGCAAAAGUGUGAAGAGUUUUAAGAAGGCAAGAAUUAACAAUUCAUUCUUUGGGUGCAGAUUUGAUUUUUUUCAACUUGAGCAGUCCAAGCUGCUUUGAACAUAGAGUUCAACCGGUUUCUAAAAUUGGGUUCACCUAAUUUGCUCUGUUUUUCAAACCCAUCAGUUGAAAUCUCGAGUUUUGAGUGAUUUGAUCGGUUUUGGGAAUUAAAAAUGGCGGCGGCAUUAGCCGGAGAUGAUCUGGCAAGGCAGUCUAGCAGCCGGCGGAGCUGGCGGUCGACGAGUGUUCGGGAAAUGUGGAACGCGCCGGACGUGUUUCAGCGGAGUGGGCGGCAGCAGGCGGUGGAUGAGGAGGAGGAGCUCAAGUGGGCAGCUAUAGAGAGGCUGCCCACUUAUGACAGGAUGAGGAGGGGGAUGUUGAGACAGGCCAUGAGCAAUGGGAGGGUUAUAACUGAAGAAGUUGAUGUUGCAAACCUCGGAGCUCAGGAUAAGAAGCAGUUGAUGGAGAGCAUACUUAAGGUUGUUGAGGAGGAUAAUGAGAGGUUCUUGCAGAGGCUCAGAGCCAGAAAUGACAGGGUUGGUAUUGAGGUUCCUAAGGUUGAAGUUAGAUUCCAGAAUGUAUCAAUAGAGGGAGAUGCAUAUGUUGGCACCAGAGCACUUCCAACUCUGCUAAAUUCCACCUUGAAUCAACUAGAGGGACUAAUUGGAUUGAUUGGACUCUCACCGUCAAAGAAAAGAGUUGUCAAGAUACUCCAAGAUGUGAGCGGUAUUAUUAAACCAUCAAGGAUGACACUGCUUCUUGGACCUCCUUCGUCAGGAAAAACAACACUGUUAAAAGCACUUGCUGGAAAGCUUGAUAAGGAUCUAAGGGAAACUGGGAAAGUGACCUACUGUGGCCAUGAAUUCAAGGAAUUUGUGCCUCAGAGAACCUCUGCUUAUAUUAGUCAGCAUGAUCUUCAUUAUGGUGAGAUGACAGUUCGUGAAACAUUGGAUUUCUCUGGACGUUGCCUGGGAGUUGGAACCAGGUAUGAUAUGCUUGUAGAGUUGUCUAGACGGGAGAAAGAUUCAGGCAUCAAACCAGAUCCUGAGAUUGAUGCAUUCAUGAAAGCCACAUCUAUGACAGGCCAGGAAACUAGUUUGAUCACAGAUUAUGUUCUCAAGAUACUUGGACUUGAUAUCUGUGCUGAUAUUAUGGUGGGUGAUGACAUGAGAAGGGGCAUAUCUGGUGGACAAAAGAAACGUGUAACUACUGGAGAAAUGUUGGUUGGACCAGCGAAAGCAUUUUUCAUGGAUGAAAUAUCAACAGGGCUGGACAGUUCCACAACCUUUCAGAUUGUGAAGUUCAUGAGACAGAUGGUUCAUAUCAUGGAUGUGUCUAUGGUCAUCUCUCUCUUGCAACCAGCACCUGAGUCUUAUGAUCUUUUUGAUGACAUUAUCCUUCUUUCUGAGGGUCAGAUUGUCUACCAAGGCCCGCGUGAGAAUGUUCUGGAAUUCUUUGAAUUUAUGGGGUUCAGAUGCCCAGACAGAAAGGGUGUUGCAGACUUUUUGCAAGAAGUGACCUCAAAGAAGGACCAAGAACAAUACUGGUAUAAGAAAAACCAACCUUAUAGAUAUGUCUCAGUAUCUGAUUUCGUUCGGGCUUUUACGACUUUCCAUGUUGGCCAACGGCUUGUGGAAGAACUAAGAGUUCCAUACGAUAAACGAACAGUCCAUCCUGCUGCAUUGGUGAAGGAAAAGUAUGGAAUAUCCAAUAUGGAGAUCUUCAAGGCAUGCUUUGCGAGGGAAUGGUUGCUGAUGAAGCGUAACUCUUUUGUAUACAUAUUCAAAACUACCCAGAUAACAAUCAUGGCUACAAUUGCUCUGACAGUAUUCUUAAGAACAGAAAUGAAAGCUGGACAAGCACAAGAUUCGGCAAAAUUUUGGGGAGCACUGUUUUUCAGUCUCAUUAACGUUAUGUUUAAUGGAAUGGCAGAGCUUGCCAUGACAGUUUUCAGGCUUCCUGUGUUCUUCAAACAAAGGGAUGCUUUGUUCUUCCCUGGCUGGGCCUUUGGCUUGCCCAUUUGGCUAACCAGAAUUCCCAUUUCAGUGAUGGAAUCUGGGAUAUGGAUCAUUUUGACAUACUACUCCAUUGGAUUUGCACCUGCUGCCAGUAGGUUCUUCAAACAGUUCUUGGCUUUCUUUGGUAUACACCAGAUGGCUCUCUCCCUCUUCCGUUUCAUUGCUGCCCUUGGUAGAAGUGAGGUUGUUUCUGGCACAAUUGGUUCUUUUACAUUGCUACUCGUGUUUGUCCUAGGAGGUUUUGUUGUUGCUAAAGAUGACAUUUUGCCAUGGAUGAUAUGGGGCUACUAUGUUUCACCUAUGAUGUAUGGGCAAAAUGCAAUUGCUAUCAAUGAAUUUCUUGAUAAAAGAUGGAGCUCUCAUGUCAACGGCACCAUUGAUGACACAGUUGGAAAGGUACUUCUGAGGGAAAGCGUCUAAUGUUCUUUUCAUUGGAGCACUGACCUUCUUAGAUCCUCUUAGUGAAACUAAAACUCUAAUUGAGAAUGACGACAACUCUGAAAGUAGGAAGAGGCGACAAUCCAAUCCAGAAGGUAUUGAUAUGCAAGUCAGAAAUGCUCAAGGAAUUGUUAGUGCCGAAAAUAACCAAGCCAAACGAGGAAUGGUUUUGCCCUUCCAGCCCCUCUCGCUUGCUUUCAACCAUGUGAAUUACUAUGUGGAUAUGCCUGCCGAAAUGAAGACCCAAGGGAUUGAAGAGACCCGACUGCAACUUCUACGAGAUGUUAGUGGUGCAUUUAGGCCAGGUGUUUUGACUGCAUUAGUUGGUGUCAGUGGUGCUGGAAAGACCACCUUGAUGGAUGUCUUAGCUGGAAGAAAGACCGGCGGCUAUAUUGAAGGAAGUAUUACGAUCUCUGGUUACCCAAAGAACCAAGCCACAUUUGCCCGGGUCAGCGGUUACUGUGAACAGAAUGACAUUCAUUCACCAUUUGUUACUGUCUAUGAAUCUCUCCUAUACUCUGCCUGGCUACGUAUUUCCAAGGAUGUCAAGACGGAGACACGAAAGAUGUUUGUUGAUGAGGUUAUGGACUUGGUGGAGCUUAACCCAUUGAGGAAUGCUUUAGUUGGACUUCCAGGAGUUGAUGGACUUUCGACCGAGCAGAGAAAGAGGCUCACCAUUGCUGUAGAAUUAGUUGCCAACCCUUCCAUCAUCUUUAUGGAUGAGCCAACGUCAGGUCUUGAUGCUAGAGCAGCUGCAAUUGUUAUGCGUACUGUGAGAAACACUGUGGAUACAGGACGAACUGUUGUCUGUACAAUUCACCAACCUAGCAUUGACAUUUUUGAAGCAUUUGAUGAGCUUUUCUUAAUGAAAAGAGGAGGACAGGUGAUUUAUGCAGGUCCUCUAGGUCGCCAGUCUCACAAGCUUGUUGAAUACUUUGAGGCUAUUCCAGGGGUUUCCAAGAUCAAAGAAGGUUACAAUCCUGCUACCUGGAUGUUAGAGGUCAGCUCUGCUUCAAUUGAAGCUCAAAAUGAUGUGGACUUUGCAGAAAUAUUUGCAAACUCUGAUCUCUAUAGGAGAAAUCAGGAACUUAUCAAGGAACUAAGCAUACCAGAACCAGGCUCCAAGGAUCUUUACUUCCCCACCCAGUACUCCCAAAGCUUUUUAACUCAGUGCAAGGCUUGCUUCUGGAAACAAAACUGGUCAUACUGGAGGAACUCACGGUACAAUGCCAUUAGGUUUUUCAUGACAAUUUGCAUCGGAGUAUUAUUUGGUAUUAUCUUCUGGGGCAAAGGAGAUGAUAUACACAAGCAACAAGACCUGAUUAAUCUUUUGGGAGCUACCUAUUCUGCUAUUCUUUUCCUUGGAGCUAGCAAUGCUUCUGCUGUGCAAUCUGUGGUUGCGGUUGAACGAACAGUUUUCUAUCGUGAAAGAGCAGCGGGAAUGUAUUCAGAGUUGCCAUAUGCAUUUGCUCAGGUGGCUAUUGAGACAAUUUAUGUUGCAAUCCAAACCUUUGUCUAUUCCUGUCUUCUAUUUUUCAUGAUCGGGUAUAAUUUUAAGGUGGAGAAGUUUCUGUACUUCUACUACUUCAUAUUCAUGUGCUUUACCUACUUCUCAAUGUACGGGAUGAUGGUGGUUGCCCUAACUCCUGGCCAUCAAAUUGCUGCAAUUACUAUGUCUUUCUUCUUGAGCUUCUGGAACUUGUUCUCUGGUUUCCUCAUCCCCAGGCCGCUAAUUCCCAUCUGGUGGAGGUGGUACUACUGGGGCUCUCCUGUUGCUUGGACAAUCUAUGGCAUCUUCACAUCCCAAGUUGGUGACAUAAAGACAGAGAUCAUAGUUAAUAUUGACGAAAGAAAAGCUGUUGAUGUAUUCCUUAAAGAUUUUUUAGGUUUUGAGUACGAUUUUCUGAUCCCUGUUGUCAUUGCUCAUGUUGCUUGGGUCCUCCUCUUCUUCUUUGUCUUUGCAUACGGCAUCAAGUUCUUGAACUUCCAAAGGAGAUAAGCAAAUUCACUGUGCAGCAGUGAAGAACCUUAAGAAUGUGAAAUAGAUAGCUUGAGUGUACAACAUUAUAAUUAGAGAGACAAAAUUUGUCCUCUCUUUUUGUCAUUUCAUUUUUGCUUUUGCUUCAUACGUUUGUGUAAUUUAGUUUGUCUUGGAUACCUUUUCCUUAAUACUUUGUAUAGCUAUUUUUAUUCUUGAAUAUUUAAUAGAAGGACCUUGUGAAUGUUCUUUUCAA